rnacentral:rRNA from 1 species
CCUACGGGAGGCAGCAGUGGGGAAUAUUGGACAAUGGGCGCAAGCCUGAUCCAGCCAUGCCGCGUGAGUGAUGAAGGCCUUAGGGUUGUAAAGCUCUUUUGCCAGGGAAGAUAAUGACUGUACCUGGAGAAUAAGCCCCGGCUAACUUCGUGCCAGCAGCCGCGGUAAUACGAAGGGGGCUAGCGUUGUUCGGAAUCACUGGGCGUAAAGCGCACGUAGGCGGACUUUUAAGUCAGGGGUGAAAGCCUGAGGCUCAACCUCAGAACUGCCCUUGAUACUGGGAGUCUUGAGUAUGGUAGAGGUUGGUGGAACAGCAAGUGUAGAGGUGAAAUUCGUAGAUAUUUGCUAGAACACCAGUGGCGAAGGCGGCCAACUGGACCAUAACUGACGCUGAGGUGCGAAAGCGUGGGGAGCAAACAGGAUUAGAUACCCUGGUAGUCCACGCCGUAAACGAUGGAUGCUAGCCGUUAGCCAGCUUGCUGGGUAGUGGCGCAGGUAACCCUUUAAGCAUCCCGCCUGGGGAGUACGGUCGCAAGAUUAAAACCUUAAAGGAAUUGACGG